AGCAGCAGCGGCCGCCGCCGCCGGCGGAGGAGACCCCGAUCAUGUCCAGCAAGAGCCGGAAGAGCAAGGAGCAGGGGAGAGUGACCUUCCCGCCGCAGCAGCAGCAGCAGCAGCAAGAGGAGGAGGAGGAGGAGGAGGAGGCAGAGGAAGAAGAGCGGCAGCGCCGGCGCCGCGGCUGGAGAGGCGUCAACGGUGGGCUGGAGCCCCCGCCGCCGCCGCUGCGCGCCGUGAAGACCCUCCGGGAGCCCUACGGCUACUACCCGCCGCCGCCCUUCGCCAGCACCAUGUACAUUGAAGAAAGUCCGUCUCUGAGGCGUAUGACUAUGAUGAGGGAAAAGGGAAGGCGCCAGGCCAUUAGAGGCCCAGCAUUCAUGUUCAACAACAGAGGCACUAGUCUCACUGCUGAGGAAGAGCGCUUUCUAGAUGCAGCAGAGUAUGGGAACAUACCUGUGGUGCGCAAAAUGCUGGAAGAGUCAAAAACACUGAAUGUCAACUGUGUUGACUACAUGGGCCAAAACGCCUUGCAGCUUGCUGUAGGGAAUGAACAUUUGGAAGUGACAGAACUUCUGUUAAAAAAAGAGAACUUGGCACGGAUUGGAGAUGCCCUGCUGCUUGCAAUCAGCAAGGGCUACAUUAGGAUAGUGGAAGCAAUUUUAAAUCAUCCUGGGUUUUCAGUAAAUAAGCGACUGACUCUGAGCCCUUGUGAGCAGGAGCUCCAGGAUGACGAUUUUUAUUCCUACGACGAAGACGGCACCCGCUUUUCUCCAGAUAUCACUCCCAUCAUUUUAGCUGCUCACUGCCAAAAGUACGAAGUCGUGCAUAUGCUGUUGAUGAAAGGAGCAAGGAUAGAAAGGCCUCAUGAUUAUUUCUGCAAAUGUAACGACUGUACAGAGAAACAAAAGCAUGAUUCCUUCAGUCACUCCAGGUCAAGAAUAAAUGCCUACAAAGGACUGGCCAGUCCAGCUUACCUGUCCCUCUCCAGUGAAGAUCCUGUGCUCACUGCGCUGGAACUCAGCAAUGAGCUUGCCAAAUUGGCUAACAUUGAGAAAGAAUUCAAGAAUGACUAUCGUAAGCUGUCUAUGCAAUGCAAAGAUUUUGUGGUUGGAGUUCUUGAUCUCUGCCGAGACUCAGAAGAAGUGGAGGCCAUCCUCAAUGGGGAUUUGAAUUCAGAGCCAGUUGAAACGCAGAGACACAGAGCAUCACUGAGCCGUGUGAAACUGGCCAUUAAGUAUGAAGUCAAAAAGUUUGUGGCUCAUCCAAACUGUCAGCAACAGCUACUGACUAUCUGGUAUGAAAAUCUCUCAGGACUGCGGGAGCAAACCAUAGCCAUCAAGUGUCUGGUUGUGCUGGUUGUGGCGUUGGGCCUUCCGUUUCUAGCCAUCGGUUAUUGGAUUGCACCAUGUAGCAGGCUUGGAAGAAUUCUUCGAAGCCCAUUUAUGAAAUUUGUGGCACAUGCAGCAUCCUUCAUCAUUUUCCUAGGCCUGCUGGUGUUCAAUGCUUCUGAUAGAUUUGAAGGUAUAACAACGCUACCGAAUGUCACUGUUACUGAUUACCCUAAGCAGAUCUUUAGGGUGAAGACUACUCAGUUCACUUGGACAGAAAUGCUGAUCAUGGUAUGGGUACUUGGUAUGAUGUGGUCAGAAUGCAAAGAGCUGUGGCUGGAAGGACCCAGGGAAUAUAUUUUGCAGUUAUGGAAUGUUUUGGAUUUUGGGAUGUUGUCCAUUUUCAUUGCUGCUUUCACAGCGAGGCUUCUAGCAUUCCUGCAGGCAACAAAAGCACAACAGUAUGUGGACAACUACAUUGAAGAGAGUGACCUCUCUGAGGUCACACUUCCUCCAGAAAUAGAAUAUUUUACCUAUGCUAGAGAUAAAUGGCUUCCAUCCGAUCCUCAGAUAAUAUCUGAAGGCCUUUAUGCAAUUGCUGUUGUUCUUAGCUUUUCUCGGAUUGCGUAUAUCCUGCCUGCGAAUGAGAGUUUUGGACCCUUGCAGAUUUCUCUUGGAAGGACUGUUAAAGACAUCUUCAAGUUUAUGGUCCUUUUUAUUAUGGUAUUUCUUGCAUUUAUGAUUGGAAUGUUCAUACUGUAUUCCUACUAUCUUGGAGCUAAGCUAAACCCAGCCUUUACAACAGUUGAAGAAAGUUUCAAAACCUUAUUUUGGUCAAUAUUUGGCUUGUCUGAAGUAACCUCUGUUGUCCUGAAAUAUGAUCAUAAAUUCAUUGAGAACAUUGGAUAUGUUCUCUAUGGCAUAUACAAUGUCACGAUGGUGGUAGUUCUGCUCAACAUGCUGAUUGCUAUGAUCAACAGUUCAUAUCAAGAAAUCGAGGACGACAGUGAUGUGGAGUGGAAGUUUGCUCGUUCAAAACUUUGGUUAUCAUAUUUUGAUGAUGGAAAAACAUUACCUCCACCAUUUAGUCUUGUACCAAGCCCUAAAUCAUUUUUCUAUUUCAUCAUGAGGAUCAUUAACUUUUCUAAGUGCAGGAGGAGACGGCUACAGAAGGACAUUGAAAUGGGAAUGGGCAAUUCCAAAUCGAGGUUAAACCUUUUCACUCAGUCGAACUCCCGAGUUUUUGAAUCGCACAGUUUUAACAGCAUUCUCAAUCAGCCGACACGCUAUCAGCAAAUAAUGAAAAGACUGAUAAAACGUUAUGUUCUGAAAGCACAAGUGGACAAAGAAAAUGAUGAAGUAAAUGAAGGUAAGAAGCUGUACUUUUUCACAUUUCAGAGAGAAUUUUUGUCACAUUUAUUAGAAAUUGGUAUUACAGUGGUGCAUGGGGCCUUCAAUUAAAAUGAGUUUAUUUCUACUUCAUGUGCAUUGAAGUCAGAUAGCAAUGGAAGUAUGCACAAUAAAACUGCACAAGUAGGACCAAAAAAGAGAAACUGAGAAAGUUUAUGGGCCCCAUUUACAGAAGGAGAGUUGGGAUGCAGACAUGAUGCACCCGCAGGCACAGAGGAAGUUUUUGAGGAAGCCACUAACUGUAUUGAUGCUUUUGGAGUCCUAGUCAGAGCUGCAGGGUGUCUUUCUGUUUCAUUCAGUUGAACACACAGUUUGCACUCAACAGCAUGAACCACUUGUAUUCCCUUCUUUGAUAAAUCUAUGUGGAAUACUAAUCUGCAAAGUUGCAUAUCAUUUAAAACAAACAAACAAACAAAAACCAGCCUAGUUAACUGUAUGGUGAAAAAAAAGGUGAGAACUGUAGCCACUGUUCUAGUGUACAACCAGAGGUCAUUUCAGGGAUGAUGCACCUGAGCACUGUGUCCGCAUCAGGACUGGUGGGCUCUUAGGAGCAUCUCUAAUUGCAGUAAGAGGUGCAUGCUCCAGGUACAGAACCCCACCUCCCCACUGUGGGUUGUGUACAGGUCUUUCCAAUUCCCUGAUACCUGUUUGGGUAUUUGCAACAUGUGUUUAGGUAAGUGCAGAGGAAUCAUGAUUCAUGUACUUCACAGUUCUUGCUUAUCACCAAUCUUCCUGGUGUCCACUUUGGACAAGGUGGCGAGCCCCUGAACCUGUCUGCAUCAAUCGUUAGAUAAUAUAGGUAUUCUUCCAUAUUUUUCGUAUGUGACAGCUGAUUUCCUGCAGUGGGUUCUGUGCAAGAACUAAAAUGCCUUAUACUUGCAGAAGUAGUAUUUGAGUAUUUUUAAAAGCUUAUACUCUUGAUCUGGGUAUCUUAUACUGGGAAAUGUGAUGUAUCUUGUUACAAGGCUGACCUUGCCUAUUGUUUCCAUUUAAAUGUUGCUGUUGUCCUUGUGUCGAACUGUACCAAUUUUAAAUUGGCUGACUCUUUCUGAUUCAAAGGAUGUUGGUAAGGAAGAGGAGAGAGACUCAGAAGCUGUGAAUUAAAAGAAAUCAAACAAGAUAUCUCCAGUCUUCGCUAUGAACUUUUGGAGGACAAGUCCCAGGCGACAGAAGAAUUAGCG